rnacentral:rRNA from 1 species
UGAGUAAUGUCUGGGAAACUGCCCGAUGGAGGGGGAUAACUACUGGAAACGGUAGCUAAUACCGCAUAACGUCGCAAGACCAAAGUGGGGGACCUUCGGGCCUCAUGCCAUCAGAUGUGCCCAGAUGGGAUUAGCUAGUAGGUGAGGUAAUGGCUCACCUAGGCGACGAUCCCUAGCUGGUCUGAGAGGAUGACCAGCCACACUGGAACUGAGACACGGUCCAGACUCCUACGGGAGGCAGCAGUGGGGAAUAUUGCACAAUGGGCGCAAGCCUGAUGCAGCCAUGCCGCGUGUAUGAAGAAGGCCUUCGGGUUGUAAAGUACUUUCAGCGGGGAGGAAGGCGGUGCGGUUAAUAACCGCAUCGAUUGACGUUACCCGCAGAAGAAGCACCGGCUAACUCCGUGCCAGCAGCCGCGGUAAUACGGAGGGUGCAAGCGUUAAUCGGAAUUACUGGGCGUAAAGCGCACGCAGGCGGUCUGUUAAGUCAGAUGUGAAAUCCCCGGG